AGAAUUGGACAUUUAACAAAAAGAAAAAGAAAAAAUCCAUCAAUGAUGUUGUUGUUGGUGUUGUUUAGUUCCAGGUCAAAGCUGAUUCAGCAGACAUGUGACCAAGGAUAUUCCAGCCACAAGCACACUUUCAAACUUGAUCCAGCCAGCACGCCUAUCGAAUGAAGAGAUUCUGGCCAUGACCAUUAUUAUUUCUUUACUGCCCACAAGGGGCUACACACAGAGGGGACAAACAAGGACAGAAAAAUGAAUUAAGUUGAUUAUAUCGACCCCAGUGCGUAACUGGUACUUAAUUUAUCGACCCUGAAAGGAUGAAAGGCAAAGUCAACCUCAACAGAAUUUGAACUCAGAACGUAGCGGCAGAUGAAAUACCUAUUUCUUUACUACCCACAAGGGGCUAAACACAGAGGAGACAAAUAAGGACAGACAAACAGAUUAAGUCGAUUACAUCAACCCCAGUGCGUAACUGGUACUUAUUUAAUCGACCCUGAAAGGAUGAAAGGCAAAGUCAACCUUGGCAGAAUUUGAACUCAGAACGUAGCGGCAGACGAAAUACUGCUAAGCAUUUCUCCCGGCGUGCUAACGAUUCUGCGAACUCACUGCCAUGACCAUUCUAUCAAACUUGAUUCAGCAGACAUAUUGCUCAAAUAUAUUUCAGCCAUGACCACCCUUUCAAACUUGAUCUUACAGGCCUAUUAAUCAAAGAUAUUGUAACCACGACCAUCCUGUCAAACUUGAUCCAGCAGGCCUAUUGAUUGAAGUGAUUCUGGCCAUGAUUAUCAUACCAAACAUGAUCCAGCAUAACCUAUUGAUCAAAAUCGUUCCAACCAUGACCAUCCUCAAAACGCCCAGCCCCCUCAAGCCAGUUAGCUUGUUAAAAAAUUUUAACAAGCUAAUUGACUAAUCAUGACACCAGUGCCAGUUCUGGCACUUUCAAUCUAUAUAUUGCUGGUGGGGAGAUGAGUUGCUGCUCUCUCUGGCAGUUGAGUGUCCAUCAUUGAUGAGACCAAGGAUGGUUGAAAUCACGGGAUCUGGUGUUCUCAGCACUGGAGAUGGUCAGAAUUUAUCUCCCCACUUGCAGGGAUAUGAACAAGAGUUCAUUUUGCACCAAAAAAACUAAUGGUAUCUACCACAGUAUAGUUUGUUCUAACAGAACAUCCAGGUUUAAGUGGGGAUAAAGAUUAUCUCUCAGUACUAAUAUUGUCUCUGUCACCAAUGUGUGUGUGUGUAAGCAAAGAGAGAGAGAAAGGAUUUUUGCACAAUUUCCAUCUAACGUAUUCCACACAGAAGAUAUUGGUCAAACUACUUCUCCUGUUAAAAGACAAUAAAAGACAGGAUGGUCAUAGCUGGUAACUCCAUUCUUCGUUUAGGUUUACUCAAUCAGGGCUGACCUGGGUUUAAACAGCAGUAACAACAGUAACGAUAACGACUCACGACUUUUUAGUAAUAAUCUGAUAAUUACAAUAAUAAACAGAAUUACAUUGGUUAAUAUAAGAACAUACCAUCACCACUACCACCACCAUCACUAUCACUACUGUCAUGAUCACCAUACUACCAUUGCUGCCACCACCACUGCUGCCAUCACCACUGCUGCCACCACCACUGCUGCCACCACCACUGCUGUCAAUACCAUCACCCUCACCACCAUAUCCCACCACCGCAGUCAUUACCAACAAGUAAUAUAAACAACACCACCACCGCCACUGAAGACAGUACAACUUCAAGUCAUUGAAGCAGCCUCUAUGUGGCCCAUCAAACUGCUAGAAAUAGCGACUUCAAACCACACAUUGAAACCAUCUUUAAAAAAAAUAGAUAGAAGGAAACAAUACAUGAGGCAAGGUAAUUCUAGAUUCAUCAUAUCUGAAAAUCAGAUGGGAUGGUCAUAGCUGGUAUGCCUUUGGUAAUUAGAUCUUCUCCAACACAGUUGACCUGACGGUUAAAGCAACAACACUCUGGUUCGGAAUUUAGGGGAAUAAAAUGCUAAGGAGCCUCUUGCAGGAUGUGAACUCAGGAUAUGGAGCAGAGGUCGCCAAAGUCUGAAGGAAAUUACAAGGAGUCAAUGAUAGCCAAGGGGUCAAAUGGGGGGGAGGGGUCAGCAUGUGAAAGACCAGCUCACCCAUAUGAACUGCUUGAAAUACUUGGUCAGCGCCAUGCCUAUCCCUCACGUUGAUGUUGUCAAUUUCAAUAAAAGAUAUUCCAGCAAUAUGAUGCAAUUUUCACAUUUUCUAACUGAAAACAAUUUCAUAAAAAUUGAAAGCUUAAUAGGCUUAUAGGCGUAGGAGUGGCUGUGUGGUAAGUAGCUUGCUUACCAACCACAUGGUUCUGAGUUCAGACCCACUAUGUGGCACCUUGGGUGAGUGCCUUCUACUAUAGCCUCAGGCUGACCAAAGCCUUGUGAGUGGAUUUGGUAGACAGAAACUGAAAGAAGCCCAUCGUGUGUAUGUAUGUACAUGUGUAGGUGUUUGUGUGUCUGUGUUUGUUCCCCCAACAUUGUUUAACAACCGAUGCUGGUGUGUUUACGUCCCCGUAACUUAGUGGUUCGACAAAAGAGACCGAUAGAUUAAGCACUGGGCUUACAAAGAAUAAGUCUUGGGGUCGAUUUGCUCGACUAAAGGUGGUGCUCCAGCAUGGCCACAGUCAAAUGACUGAAACGAAUAAAAGAGUAAUACUAUAUACUUGUACACUGUUUUAAAUGUAAAAAGUGUGUUAUCUUCAAUAGAAUUUCCUAAUUUGUCAUACAUGUAUAUUUUAGCUAACAUUUUAAUUGCCAACAUCAGUACUUAGAACGCAUUUAAGAUAUGAAGGGUAGAGUAUUAAGAUAUUCUAAAUGAGGAGGCUGGUUGAUAUAGAAGGAGAAAUGGCUAAAGGGGGUCAAUGCAGAAGGAGAAGUGGGUAAAGGGGGUCGAUUUGGAAGGAAAAGUGGCUAAAGGGGGUCGAUGGUUGAAAAAGUUUGGUGACCCUUGAUGUAGUGAGAUGAAAUAAAAUGCUGUCAGACAUUCAGUUCAGCCCUGCAGUCUACCACUCAACUAGCUAACAGCAAUAUAUAUCAUAAAAAUAAGGCAGCAAGCUGGUAGAAUUUUAGUACACUCUUUACUCUUAUUUGUUUCAGUCAUUUGACUGCGGUCAUGCUGGAGUAGCACCUUUCUUCGCACAAAUUGAUCCCAGGACUUAUUGUUUGUAAGCCUAGUACUUAUUCUAUCAGUCUCUGUUGCUGAAUUGAUAAGUUACAGGGACAUAAACAUACCAGCAUCGGUUGUCAAGCGAUGUUUGGGGGACAAGCACUGACACAAAAACAUAUACAUAUAUAUAUGGGCUUCUUUCAGUUUCCAUCUACCAGCCCUCGGGUUACUGGUGCCCCCGGCAAGCUGAAAUUUGGCAUGUACAAGCUAAUGGUCAUUGAAAUUUCCUCGUCUUUGUCACGCCCUCCUUAGUGCCCCCUAGCCCAUGGCGCCCUGGGCAACUGCCUUAGUUGUUGGUACCUUGAGCUGGCCCUGUCAUGAAGAUAGGAAGACAAGAAAAUGGGAUGAUGGGAGGACAGGAAAACAGGAAGAUAUGAAAACAGGAAGUGAGGAUAAUAGGAAGAGAAGAAGACAGGUUGAUGGGAAAACAAGAAGAGGAUAAGAUGGAAAGACUGAGUGGUGAUAUGAUGGGAAAACAGGAAGAUAAGAAGGUGGGAAGUUAGUAAAACGAUGGGAAAAAGUAGUUGCCAUACAAGAAGUAUUCUUCACUUGCAGUCUUAGAUGUGUAGUUGUAAAAAUAUGGAUCAAUGAGGGCUUUCCAAGAUGAAGUGACAUUUCCAGAGGAUGUUAUCACGUCUGUUAAGUUGGCUGGAAUGAUAGGUAAGAGUUUAUUUAUUAGUCUGGUCUAGAAUGAUAGGCAAAAGUUUAUAAAUUAGUUUGGUCUGGAAUGUAUGUACGUAUGCAUGUAUAUAGGGAGAAUUCCCAAAAAACAAAAGACAAAGACAGGUGGUGUAGACAACAAACAGAUGUAUUAGUAUAACGCUCGGGAAGUGAAAAAGUCUUUAACGUUUCAAGCCUACACUCUUCCACAGAAAGGAACAUAAAAAAACAAGGAGAGAAAAUAAAGAAUGUGUAGUAGCUAGCGAUCUAUCAUGGCGAAUGUAUGAUGUAUAUAUAUGUAAGUAUGUAUGUAUAAUAUCUGAUAUAUGCAUGUAUAAAUGUGUGUAUGUAUGAACAUAUAUAUGAAUGUUUGUAUAUGUGUUGGUCAAUGAAUGGCAGAGUUCGAAGAGUAUUGAGCAUAAUAUUUUGUGGUAUUUGGUAUAAUUGUAAUCUACAUCAUCUGAACGGUAUUUGUCGAAAAUUUCAUUUAAAAAUUCAUAUAUUUCUAAAAAGUAUGAGGAAACAAAGUUGAGGCAUGCUAUAUACUUCUGAAGAAUUUUUUUCACAACAAAUUCUAAAUUUACAUCCUUUGAAACAUAUCUGUAGCAAAUUUCAUUUAAAAAUAUCCAUUUUGUAUAAAGUUAGGAGGAAACAAAGUCUGGGGGGUGGGCUUUGUACAGUCAGACCCAAGACAGUGCUCCAGCAUGACCAUAGUCCAUUAAGUUGAAAAUCAGUAAAAGAGCAAAACAAUGACAGAAUUCAAAAAUGAACAUUCUACUUACGUCUGCAAUCAGGACGAGUCUCAUUAAACAGGCCUUCAAUGUCGCUUAGAGAUGGUACUUGAUUGCUGGGGUCUGUAGCGGCAAUGUUGGUGAAGUUGUCGCCAUAAGUGUUUACAGUACAGUUGCAUGUAUUCCACUCAUUGUUGCAUUUGAGCCAUGGCAGUGAUGAUGUGAAGGAUGCAAAGAGGAAGUAGAUGGAAUAUGCCACAAUAACGUUAUAGUAGAUUAUAAUGAGGAACACAAGAAUCAACAUGGAGUAGCCAACACCUGCAAAGAUUGACAGUUGCACAUUUAUAGAAAUGACCAUAUAUAUAUCUAUAUAUAUGUGUGUGUGUGUGUAUAUAUAUAUAUAUAUAUAUAUAGGAUAAUUUAUUCACCCAUUUAGAAAUAUAUAUAUAUAUAUAUGUAUAUAUAGGGAGAGUUCACGAAAAAAACAAAAGACGAAGACAGGUGGUGUAGAAAACAAACAGAUGUAUUAGUAUAACGCUCAGGAAUUGAAAAAGUCUUUUACGUUUCGAGCCUAUGCUCUUCUACAGAAAGGGACACAGAAAAAAAUAAGCAAAGAAAAAAAAUGUGUGUGGUGGCUAACGAUCUAUCAUAUAUAUAUAUAUAUGAUGGACUCUCCCAUCAUUAGAUGACAUAUGAGGGUUUGACAAAUUCUUACCAAACAGUCACUCAGAUGAUUUUGCUUAUAGUGAUCAAAUGUUUGUGUAGACAUAAGCUCCCUCCCUCCAUCAAAUUGACAUUACCUGUACAGGUGCAGCAGGUGCCACAUGUAAGAUGUUGAAAUGAUCGCAGAGCAACAUGAAAUGAAGUGUUUUGUUCAAAAACACAACACAACGCCCGGUCUGGAAAUCGAACUCAUGAUCUUGCAAUUGUGAGUGCAACACCUUAACCACGAAGCCAUUUAUGUAUUUGUUCUGCAAGAUUCCUGAUGUCAAAUCAUGUGUUCAAACAAAUAUUGUUAGAUUUCAGAAGUAGUGGCGGGGCAUCAUAACCAUGUGUUGAUGGGAUUUCUUUAAGGUUUGAAUAUUUAAUUUCUGGGAACAUAGGUGUUUCGUUCAUUGUCUUCAAACAAACCUUAUUCAGGGACCUUUUGAGCAGGAUGGGCUACUCAGCCUGAAGAAAAUUCUAACUGGGCUCCACCUGCAAGGUCAUGUGCUGUUUGUCCUGAUAUGAGAUCACCAUGUCUUGCACAUCUGGUUGUGAUGCGUGAGUCUGGUGUACCCUUAUCAGACAACUAGUCAUGAUGGGUAUAUUGGGCUUCAUAUAUUUGUAUCCCAGUGUCACCUUUAUGGGUGGCACAUGGCCUAGUGGUUAGAGCAGUGGGCUCGUGAUCGAGGGAUUGCAGGUUCGAAUCUCAGCCUGGGCAAUGUGUGUGUUUAUGAGUGAAACACCUAAGCUCCACACGGCUCCAGCAGAAGCUAAUUGGCGAACUUCUGCUGACUCUUUUGCCAUAAAUUUCUCUCACUCUUUCCUCCUGCAUCUUGCAGCUUAACUGCGACAGACCGGUGUGCCAUCCAGGUGGGGAACCUAUAUGCCAAGGAAAGCGGGAAACUGGCCCUUAUGAGCCAGGUAUGGCUUGAGUAGGACCAAAUAAAUCAUGGCAUGCAUUGCUCUCACACAAUAAUGAUGGACUCUCGUAUUGAAGAUAUUGUAUGAGUAUCCAGCUUUAGCCAAACAACCUGCACAAAUUAUUUGUUUAAAGUGAUCCUAUGUUCAUGUUACAUAUUAGUUCAUUCCCUCCAUCAAAUUGACAUUGUCUGAACAGGUGGACAGUGUACCACGCAUCAGGUGUCGAAGUGACCACAGAGCAAUGUGAGGUGGAGUGUUUUAUUUAGAGACACAAUGCACCACUCGGUCCAGGAAUUGAAAUCAUGAUCACUAAAUCAUGAGUGCAACACCCAAACCAUUAAGCCAUGCGCUCUCACUUAUAUAAUAAUAAUAAUAAUAAUAAUAAUAAUAAUAACAUGAUUAAUAUCAAUGCUCAAGAGUCUUAGUAUGGUCACAGACAUUAGAGUCUUAGCUCAUCUGAGUGUGAGCUGACUUAGUUGGUAUGUGUAGUGGUGGUGGUGGUGGUGGUGGUGAGAUUAAGCAAAAACAACAACAGCAGCUACGUUGACUUACCUUUAAAAGGUGGACAAUGGCGAAAUAUUGUCAGUGGACCAAGUCCACUAAACUGACCGACAGAGAUCUCCAUAAAGAAGAGAGGGAUGCCAAUGGUUAUCAGACAAAUGAAAUAUGGAAUUAGAAAUGCACCUGGAAGCAAAAAGUAAGGUUGAGGGUUUAACAGUGAGUAUAGUCUUUGGAAAGGAACAAGGAAAUCAUCCAGGAAUGGCUGUGUGGCUAAGAAGCUCACUUUGCAACCGCAUGCUGUCGGGUUCAAGGCCACUGAAUGGCAACCUGGACAAGUGUCUUCAAUAGCCCUGGGCCAACCAAUACCUUGUAAAUGAAUUUGGUAGACAGACAUUGUGGGAGAAGUCCCUAUACAAAGAGCUUAUAUACAUACAUACGUACAUACAUAUGUAUAUAUAUUAUGUACUUUGACCUCAGCAUUAGUUGAUGAUGUAACUGAAUGUGAAUUAUGAAACAGCUGUAAACAUAUGGAAUUAAAUAUUCGUACUUCUCACUACUCCUGGACUUUAAUUGUUAUAUAUAUUUAUAUGUAUGUACUUGUGUGUGCACAUGUGUGUGUGUUUGUGUAUGUCCCCCUUGUCACUUGACAAUUGGUUUUUUGUUUACAUCUCUGUAACUUAGGGGUUUGGCAGUGGAGACCGAUAGAAUAAGUACCUAACUUUAAAAAAUAAGUACUGGGGUCGAUUUGUUUGACUAAACUCUUUAAGGCAGUGCCCCAGCAUGACCACAGCCUGAACACUGAAUCAAGUAAUGAUAAAAGAUAACAAAUGGCAAGCAUGAUGCCUCACUUACCUCCUCCAUUCUUGUAGCAGAGAUAUGGGAAGCGCCAUACAUUACCCAAACCUACAGCAAAACCAACACAUGUUAUGAAAAACUCUAUCUGUUUUCCCCAGGCACCUCUUUGCUUGGGUGUUUUUCCAUCUGGUGGUGGAUCUUCAGUGAUUUCUGCUCCUUGGUGUAUGCCAUUUGUGGGUUUCUGUUCAGUCUUUAAUUAAUCAAGGACAGAAGAACAUGCAUUUAAAGAAAUUAACAAAAAUAAUAAUAAUAAUAAUAAUAAUAAUAACAAUGAUAAUAAUAAUAAUAAUAAUGAUUUAAAUAGUAUUGGGUUGGUGCAUAAUUAUUGUGCCUUUUUUUCAACAAGUUUUAUUCAACAAACACAAUAACAAUAUUUAGCAAAAACAUCUUUAAAUGAUGGUCUGACCGUCUGCCAAGCAAAUGGGAAGCAGUAAUUGAAGUUGAUGGUGAAUAUGCUCCGGAAUAAUCAUUUAAAGAUGAUUUUGUUACAUGUUGUUAUUGUUUUUGUGGAAUAACAUUUGUUGGAAAAGAGUUGCAAUAAUUAUGCACCAGCCCAAUAAUAAUAAUAAUAAUAAUAAUAAUAAUAAUAAUAACUCAACUGAUUAGAAAUGUUAUUGUGUACAUUGUUUUUUCUUGGUAUAAAAGCUGGGCAACAGCAAAUAUUCUGCUCAAUACCACAGAUUUGCUUGUCAGUUGCUUGACCACAACCAGUUGAGCAUGUCCCUUAGUGGCUGAUGAUAUGUGCAUCUCUGAUCACGAGCAAAAGUAGUUGGAGAAGCAUCAAAGUCAUGUGUUGAGAGGAAUCCUUUUUUAGGUUUGGAUAAUUCACCUUUGGAAACAUGGGUGCUUCGUUCAACAUCCUCAAACCCUUAUUCAGGGACCUUUAGAGUGGACUGGCCUACUCAACCUGAAGAAAAUUCUAACUGGACCCCACCUGCAAGCUCAUGCACUGUUUAUCUUGAUAAAAGAUUACCAUGUUGCAUACAUGUGGUUGUGAUGCAUGUGCCUGGUGUACCCUUAUCAGACGGGUAGUCAUGAUGGGUAUACUGGGCUUCGUAUAUUUUAUCCCAGUGUUACUUUGAUGACAUGCACUACUCUCUCACUCAAUAAUAAUAAUGAUGAUGAUGAUAGUAAAAGAACCUGAGUUGGAACAAAUUUACAAAUACCUCAGAAUAAAUGCAGGCUCUGGCAUUCAGCAGGCAAGUAUAAAAUAGAUCAGGAAGGAAUGUUACAGGAGAGAUAAAGCAGUUCUGAAAUCUGAGCUAAAUGCACAUAACAAGCCAUAAAUUCCUUAGCAGUUUGAGUUUUUGUUUAUGGUUUCAAUGUGUUGAAUUGGAAUAUCAGCAAAAUAAAGAAAAUUGACAAGAAAAUGCAUAAGCUGCUGACUUGCAAUAAGAUGCACCACCCAAAGACAGACUCAAAUUGUCUUUACCUCCCCAGAGCCCAUGGAGGUCGAAGCCUGAUCCAAUUAGAAAUCUCUUACAAAACCACCACAAAUGGACUGGCCAAAUAUCUUGAAACAUCUGACGACUGGAUGCUAAAAGCCGUUGAAAAUCACAAGAGGUAUAAGAAGGAUCAUUCUGUCGUGAAGGAGAGCAAAAUAUUUGCUAUUAAGUUCAUGAGGUUGAACAGCAUGAUGGAAGUGCAGCAACUGCUGCAAAGAAGGUGAAAUCAAUGGAAAAGAAAAAAAGAACAAUUGGUUGAUAGGUGAGAACAAAACCCUCUGCAUGGCAAAUAUGUGGCCCAUAGCAAACAAGCUGAUAUAGACCAGAAGCACAUCUGUCAGUGGCUAUGGAGCUCAGGGAUGAAGGUAGAGAGUGAAAGCUUCAUUUUAGCUGUUCAGGUUCAGAAUUUAUUGACCUGAAACUACCAAGCCAAUGUAAAAAAAAAAAAUGGAGUGGAUCCAAAGUGGUGAUAAUGCAAUGAUGAGAUUGAAACAGUGGAUCACCUAAUCUCUGGAGGCAAAGUUUUAGCACCUGUAGAGUAUAAAUCAAGACAUAACAGAGUUGGCCAAUAUCUACACUGGUUAAUAUGUCAGCAUUAUAAAAUCAAAACUGUUGACAAAUGGUACAAGCACCACCCUGAGGCUGUAACUGAAGGAGAAAGUAUAACAAUUCUUUGGGACUUUCCAGUACAUACAUACAGAACCAUCAAAGCUAACAAACCAGGUAUUAUUGUGAAAGACCAGAACAAUAAAGUCUGUUUAUUGAUUGGCAUAAGAAUACCUUGUGAUCAGAAUAUCUUGGCAAAAGAAUUUUAUAAGCUCAGAAAAUAUAAAGAUUUGCUGAUUGAAAUUGAAAAAAAUGUGACAUCUCCAGACUGUUACAAUACCAGUGAUUGUAGGAGCAAUUGGAAUGAUAAAAAGGGAACUGUAAAUUAUUUAAGAGUGCAAAAGAUUAUUGUUUUGACUGGUACAUCACAUGUACUGAAAAGAGCAUUAUUGCUGUGAAUUUUCUCCCCCCCCCCUUUUUUUUUUCUAUUUUUCAAAGUUUCUUCCUUUUUUCUUUCUUUUUUCCUUCUCUUUUUUUCUAUCACAUAUCAUGACUUUGUAAAUGGACAAUCAGGUGUGUUUACUUUAAUGGCCUACCAAUGUAUACAGCGAGUUUCUUUGCCCUAUUUGUUGGGAAAACAAAAUUAAAAGAAUAAUAAUAAUAAUAAUCAUAAUAAUAAUAAUCAUAAUAAUAAUAAUAAUAAUAAUAAUAAUUAUAACAACAACAAUAAUGUCUAAAAAUUUCAUUGCUCUGUCAGACUACUUAAGACUUUAUCUUUGAUUAUGUUUAUCUUUGAGUGCAGAUGUAAAUGUCUUUAACCCUUUCAUUUCCAUAUUCUUUGUUGAAAUACAUUGUUUUAAUUGUAAAAAUAAUGAAGGAUUUAGUAAAAUAAAUUUCUUGUAACAUUAUUAAGUUUAACCCAUUAACUGCCAAAUGUUUUUAUUCAUAUUUUUUGGCUUUGCCAGGUGUCUUGGGAGUUAAAAUAAUAUAUAGUUAAAUUUUCUUCAUAUGUGAAUUAUUUUGGAAAUUAUAAUAUAUUUUUCGAAAAGUACCAAAUGGGGAUUGCUGAAAAAAGCAUAUUUAUCCGUUUCUACUCAAUUGCAAUAAUAAACAUUUUAGUUUUUUUGAAACUGUAGUAUCAAAUGCGAAUUUGUAUGAAAUAUUAAUGAAUGGUAUAGAUGGGAAAUGUAAAAAGAAAAGUUUUCAAAACAGUCAAUAUUUUUGUAGUUCAAAAAUUGCGAUUUAUGACAUAAAAUGUCCUCUAGAAUUAGCCAGAGCUAAUUUUGACAAACUUUAACUACUAAAUAUUGUUAAACACACCUCUACGGAUGCAAUGUACAUAAGCAAUUCAUUUUAAAUACAACGAACAACCAGCAGUGAGACUGCAUUUAGCAGAUUCGCAAUUGGGACUCAUGACAGGCAAUGGGUCAAGAUGGAGAGCUAGCAGAAUGGUUAGCAUGCUGGAUAAAAUGCUUUGUGGAAUUUUGCCAGACUUUAUGUUCUGAGUUAAAAUUUUACCAAGACCUAGAUAUGUUGAUCCAGACUGUGAGAAUAUUCAAUGAUGACACCGGAAUGCAGUUUAAGGUAAACAAGUGCACAAAACUGGUUCAGACAUUUCUAGGAAGGUGACAUGAGCCUUGAAGAUAAAGCAAGGCUGGGAGACCUUCUGUUGUGGUAGAUGAGGCUUUGCUCAAAACGGCUGAGCAACAGCCAAGCACAAGCACUCAUACAUUGUUGGCAGAACUUGGAUCUUCCAUCAAUUAACGCCUCCAUAAGCUCAGUCUUGUGAACAAACACUGUGGAUAAGCUCCUCAUGAACUGACCAAUGACCAGACUCAACAACAUGUGAACAUUUGCAAACAACCACUGGCAAAUCCUCGAGAUGCCUGUUUUUGGCAUUGAAUUGAAACUGGGAAUGACAAAUGGAUCUGUUUUCCUAAUCCGAACAAAAGAAAUUAGUCAUUUCAUUCUAGCCAGGCCUCAGAACGUGUUGUCAAACAAGAGCUGUUUGAACAGAAGGUCAUGUUGUGUUUGGUGAAAUUUUGAGGGUGUGUUGCAACUUUGAGCUUGUCCCAGAAGCUCCUGCUGUGAACACUAACCUUUAUGCUCAACAACUGCAGUGAGUAAAUGAUACCUAUUUCUUUACUACCCACAAGGGGCUAAAUGCAGAGAGGACAAACAAGGACAGACAAACAGAUUAAGUCGAUUAUAUCGACGCCAGUGCAUAACUGGUACUUAAUUUAUUGACCCCGAAAGGAUUAAAGGCAAAGUCGACCUCGGCAGAAUUUGAACUCAGAAUGUAACAGCAGACGAAAUACUGCUAGGUAUUUCACCCGGUGUGCUAAUGUUUCUGCCAGCUCGCUACCAUUUUUACAGUAAGUAAAUGAUACCUUGAAAGCUUGCUACCAAGCAUUGGUCAAUCAAAGACACACAAUAUGGCCAAGCAUAAACUUGGCCUUGUAGUUUGGGUGUUGCAUUCAUAAUCACUAACUCAUGGGUUCAGUUCCUGGACAGAGCCAUGCAUUGUGUUCUUGAGCAAAACACUUAAUUUUAUGUUGCUCUGCGAUCAUUUCAAAAUCUGAUAUGAGGCACACCUGUGCACCUGUACAGGUAAUGUCCAUUUGAUUGAGGAAGUAGACUAAUGUACAGCACACAUUUGAUCACUAUAAACUAAUCCUUUGUGCAGGUCAGACAGCAAACACUGAACACUCAUUCAUCAUCUUUGACAGAAGAAUCCAUGACGACGACGAUGACCACCACCACCACCAUCAUCAUCAUCAUCAUCAUUAUUAAGGCAGUGAGCCAGGAGAAUUGUUAGCAUGCUGGGAUAAUAUGUUUAAUGGCAUUUCUCAUGGUUUUACAUUCUGAGUUCAAAUUUUGCCAAGGUUGACUUUGCCUUCCAACCUUUUGAGGUUGAUAAAACAUGUACCAGUCAAGUACUGGGGUCAAUAUAACUAGCCCUCUGCCCCAAAAUUUCAGGCUUUGAACCUAUAGUAGACUGAAUUAUUAUUAUUAUUGUUAUUAUUAUUGAGUGAGAGAGCAGUGCAUGCCAUCAAAGUGACACUGGGGUAAAAUAUACGAAGCCCAGUAUACCCAUCAUGACUACCCGUCUGAUAAGGGUACACUAGGCACAUGCAUCACAACCAUGUGUGCACGACAUGGUGAUCUCAUAUCAAGAUAAACAGCACAUGACCUUGCAGGUGGGGCCCAGUUAGAAUUUUCUUCAGGUUGAGUAACCCAUCCCACUCGAAAGGUCCCUGAUUAAGGGUUUAUUAUUAUUAUUAUUAUCCUCAUUAUUAUUAUUGUUACUAUUAUUAUCAUUAUUAUUAUUGUUACUAUUAUUACUAUUAUUGUGGUUGUUGUUGUUGUUAUUUCUAAUUAUCACAGGUUUUGUUGGAGCUCCGGGAGUCUUGUAUGCGUAGUGGGCUUGCUACCUGCAGCCUGAGGGACCAUGCUGUCUGUUCUUUUCAGCUAUCCAAUACUUUCCUGAUUAUUGUGGCCAUGCCAAGGAGGCAAACCUUUUGUAACAGUUCUACUGGGCACUCUAUUCCAGUUUCCUUGAUGCCUUCUGAUACUGUUCCCAAGGACCCGACAGUAAUUGGAGAAGAAGAAGAACAACAACAACAACAACAAAGUAAAAAUCAGAAAGAAAGAAAAACGAAGGAAAGAAGAAACAAAAGAAGAACAACAAAGUAAAAAUCAGAAAGAAAGAAAAAUGAAGAAGAAAAACAAAGGAAAAAAAUGAAAGAUGAAAAGAAGUGAAAGAACAAAAGGAAUUAAAACAGUAAAAACAGAAAGAAAAAGGAAAUGAAGUAGAAAAACAAAAUAAUAAAAACUAAGAAAAAUGAAGGAGAUGAAGAAGAAGAAUGAAGAAGAAGAAGAAUGAAGAAGGGAGAAGAAAAACAAAAUAUUAAAAACAAAGAAAAAUGAAGAAGAAGAAUGAAUACAAAGCAAAAUGAAAGAAGAAGAAGAAUGAAAAAGACAAAGAAAAAUGAAGAAAAGAAGAAGAUGAAGAAGGGGCUUUUUUUUCAAAUCUUAGUCUAAUUUAUUACUGGGGACAAAAGAAAUCAAGGACUUUUGUCAUAAACGGAGAUUUUUCGAAGAGAGAGAAAGAGAGAGCAAGGAAGAAUAUUGAGAAAAAUGUUAAGAAAAAAGAACAUUCAAACAUAAUAUAAAUUCUUAAACAACAUUGUUUAAAUGAGUAAAUCCCAAAUAUUUGAAUAUGAAAUAUCAGAAUUUUACAAUAAUACACCUUAACGUUAAUGAAAAUAUUUUAACGAAAAUAAGACAAUAAAACAACUCUACUCACAUGUAACUUGUAGACCUCCAUAACAACUGAGUGAAGUGGAUGUCAAAGCAAUGCAAGAGAAAAGCAGGCAAAAUAAUAAUAAGGAUAAUAAUAAUAAUAAUAAUAAUACCUGAUUAUAUAAUCAAUAAUAAUGUCUUUCUUCCCCCUCCACCACUUGAUGUUUUUUUUUUUUUCGGUGGGGCGAUCUUUGUACUUUCCAACUUAGAUAAAGUUUGCUUAAACUUUAUAUUAUUUUCCACCAACUUUUUUUUUUUUUUUUUGGUGGGGUGGUGCAAGUGGGAGUGAGGGUUGGUUGGCUGGUUGUUUUUUUGUUUUUUUGUUUUUUUAGCAAAAUUGAGAUAGAUAUAUAAAUAAAUAAAUAUGUAAAAUAGCUAAAAUACCUAAGGGAAGUUGGUGUUGUGGCCGGUGCCAGUGACACAUAAAAGACACCCAUGCCGGUGACAGGUAAAGCAAAAGGCACCCGGUACACUCUGUAAAGUGGUUAGCAUUCAGAAAAGCAUCCACAGAAACCAAGCUAAAACAGAAUGCAGCCUGGUGCAGCUCUCCGGCUUACCAGUUCCAGUCUAACCCAUGCCAGCAUGGAAA
rnacentral:lncRNA from 1 species